GAAGCCGGUCGCUGGGAGGAACCCGAGACCUGGGGCUUGUUGUCUCUCCUUCGUCCCCUUGGCUGUCCUGACGACUUAUUUAUGGUCUAAGAUGCACUGUCUGAGGUUACACAGCUAGUAAGUAGUGGAUCCAGUAUGGAACAGAGGCCAGUCUGGCUCCAGUGGGCUACUUUCAGCCACCGUGCUCUAUUGCUUAUAGAAAACAUAUCAGGGACUUCCCUGGUGGCGCAGUGGUUAAGAAUCCGCCUGCCAAUGCAGAGGACAUGGGUUCGAUCCCUGGUACAGGAAGAUCCCACAUGCCACGGAGCACCUAAGCCCGUGCGCCACAACUACUGAGCCUGCUCUCUAGAGCCCACGAGCCACAACUACUGAGCCCAUGUGCCACAACUACUGAAGCCCGCGUGCCUAAAGCCUGAGCUCCGCAACAAGAGAAACCACUGCAAUGAGAAGCCCGCGCACUGCAACAAAGAGUAGCCCCUGCUCGAUGCAACUAGAGAAAGACUGCGUGCAGCAACAAAGACCCAAUGCAACUAAAUACAUAAAUAAAUAAACAAACAAAUAAAUAAAAGAAUGUACUCCCAGACAUAUGAAAAAAAAAAAAAGAGAGAAAACAUAUCACAUGCAAGAACCUUUUAACUGAUCUGCUUAUACCAGUUUCUACUUCACUACUCCUUCCAACUCAUGCUCUGCAUUUCUGUCAGAAUCAUCCUUAUAAAACACAGAUCUGAUUUUCAUAAUCCCCUGCUUAAAAACUUGUGAUGGGGCUUCCCUGGUGGCGCAGUGGUUGAGAGUCUGCCUGCCGAUGCAGGGGACGCGGGUUCGAGCCCUGGUCUGGGAGGAUCCCACAUGCCGCGGAGCGGCUGGGCCCGUGAGCCACAAUUACUGAGCCUGCGCGUCUGGAGCCUGUGCUCCGCAACAAGAGAGGCCGCGAUAGUGAGAGGCCCGCGCACCGCGAUGAAGAGUGGUCCCCGCUUGCCACAGCUGGGGAGAGCCCUCGCACAGAAACGAAGACCCAACACAGCCAUAAAUAAAUAAAUAAAUAAAAUUAAAAAAAAAAAAAGUUAAAAAAAAAAAUAACUAUAACUUCUAAAAAAAAAAAAAAAAAAAAAAAAACUUGUGAUGGAGUCCCAUUGCCAAAAGGAUUAAGCCAAAGCUCCUUGGCAUGGUAUACAUACAGAUCCUCUAAAAAUUUGUCUCCUGGUUUCCAUUCCAACCUCUUUAACAUUCAUUCUUCCCUCUCCUAUAGUUCAGCACACCAUACUGCUCCCACCACACUGUGCCUUUUCUCAUCUGGUUCACUUUCUCUGAAACGCCCUGAUUUUUCUAUUUCUUGGUAAAUUUGUGUUCAUCCUUCAAUAAAUAUCUCAAACAUCAAUUUUCUCUAAAAUAAAUUGCAGUCUCCUUUCCCUA